UUCAAGUCGUGAAGUUCAAAUCAUAGUCGAAAAGCCAACUAUUUAAAAACAAAAUGUUGAAAUUGAAAGCCGUCAUUAAAAUAGCCUUGACAUUUGUUGUUGCCGUUAUGUUCUUAAGCGUAGGUGCUUAUGCCAUAAAUCGGAAAGCAUUGCUAACGGAUGGAAAAUGAAGCCGAAAUGAUCAUAAACUAAACGGAUAUUCGUUGAUAGACGACUGCAAUAAACGAAGGUUAUGAGGAACACACAUAUAGUAUCAUAUUUAUAUAUCGUACUUACAAAUAUACAUACAUACAUAUAUACAUACCGACAUGCUUUUCGCAUAUUUAGAUAUAAUUUAUUUGACCCUGGUUGUUAGGGUUGUUUAAAAAUAAUAUUUGAGCGGAUAUUAAAAAGUUACAAAUUAGCAUAUAUAUGUAGAUACAUAUACUAUAUACAUACAUACAUACAGUCAUGGACGGAGGAAUAGAUUGGUUGCUAUUAUUAUUGUAAUAAAACGACUCUUAUUAUUAUAUUAUAUAAACGAAAAACAAAUUGA